rnacentral:rRNA from 1 species
CAGUAGCCGCGGGAAUACGUAGGUGGCAAGCGUUGUCCGGAAUUAUUGGGCGUAAAGGGCUCGCAGGCGGUUUCUUAAGUCUGAUGUGAAAGCCCCCGGCUCAACCGGGGAGGGUCAUUGGAAACUGGGAAACUUGAGUGCAGAAGAGGAGAGUGGAAUUCCACGUGUAGCGGUGAAAUGCGUAGAGAUGUGGAGGAACACCAGUGGCGAAGGCGACUCUCUGGUCUGUAACUGACGCUGAGGAGCGAAAGCGUGGGGAGCAAACAGGAUUAGAUACCCCAGUAGUCCCUGUCUCUUAUAU